GAUGAAGAACGUAGCGAAAUGCGAUAAGUAAUGUGAAUUGCAGAAUUCAGUGAAUCAUCGAAUCUUUGAACGCACCUUGCGCCCCUUGGUUAUUCCAAAGGGCAUGCCUGUUUGAGUAUCAUGAACACCUCAACUCUUGUGGUUUCCCACAAUGAGCUUGGACUGUGGAGGUUUUGUUGGCCCUGUGGUCAGCUCCUCUCAAAUGGAUCAGCUUACCGGUGUUUGGUGGCAUUACGGGUGUGAUAACUAUCUACGCUCGUGGUCGUCUCCAAAUAACCUCCAGUGAUGGAGGUUCGCUGGAGCUUAUAAAUGUCUCUCCCCAGAGAAGACAGCCUUUGAACGUUCGAUCUCAAAUCAGGUAGGACUACCCGCUGAACUUAAGCAUAUCAAUAAGCGGAGGA
rnacentral:misc_RNA from 1 species